rnacentral:rRNA from 1 species
CUUGAACGCUGGCGGCAGGCCUAACACAUGCAAGUAGAGCGGAGCGGCGGACGGGUGAGUAAUGCCUAGGAAUCUGCCUGGGGGUGGGGGAUAAAGUCCGGAAACGGGCGCUAAUACCGCAUACUAUACAAUUAGCCUAGGUCGGAUUAGAUAGUUGGUGGGGUAAAGGCAUACAAAGGCGACGAUCCCUAACUGUUCUGAGCGGAUGAUCAGUAACACGUGAACUGAGACACUGUCCAGACUCCUACGGGAGGCAGCAGUGGGGAAUAUUGGACAAUGGGCGAAAGCCUGCUCCAUCCAUGCCGCGUGUGUGAAGAAGGUCGUCGGAUUGUAAAGCACUUUAAGUUGGGAGGCGUUACCAACAGAAUAAGCACCGGCUAACUUCGUGCCAGCAGCCGCGGUAAUAC